GUAAGCAAGUGUCCAACUAUCACGUUGCAUCGCAUAACAUCAGACGCUCUCUGUCCAUACCGAAUCCGUUAAAUAUGCUCUUUUGUUACGUCAUGUAAACAAAUCACGUACCUAUCAGCUGCUCACUCAAGAUCAAACUGGAGACGUACUCAACUAAAAGAUGGGAGGGUGAAACGGACAUGCCCAGUGUUAAAGGAGCUUUCUGUAUGCUACCCCCGAUGACUUCACGACGGAGUGUUUCGUCUCUUUUGGAAAAAAUCAUGGAGGAAAUUCAGGCACAUGGGACACCCGACACCGCGGCCCCCUUGAUUCCAGUUGUGCAGUGAGUCAUCUCUGUGUCUGGCAGAUGACACAGUGGCACGAGGCCAACUUAAACUGGACCUGACUCUGUCCACAUUGAAGCUCCGACCGCUAUGCGUCCAAAAACAUGUCUAGCAUUGCUCCCAACUAACAGAACAAUGCCAGGGAUUAGGAUGCUAGGCUAAAUUUAAAGUCGCAAAAGAAUGCAUUCAAAAACACAAGGACCCAUCAGAGCAAGGAUGGAGGUCUAGAGAUGUUAUUCUUUUAUUGUCUUUUCCCUAAAAUUAAAUGUUCCAAAAUGCAGAGACAGUUGAAAAGACUGUAUUUCUCUGAGACUUUGUGUAUGUCUUUCUGCUAGAGUGGGGUGGGGUUACACAGGGACAAAAUUUAUGACAACUGCUUUCAACUAAAACCCUAAUGUGAUGUUUUAAUGUUUUAUUCCGAUUUCAUCAAUAAAACAUAA